rnacentral:misc_RNA from 1 species
UGAAGAAAUAUAGUUUUAUAGAACUAGCAGAGGCAACUAAUUUCUUCUCCAAUGAUUAUCUCCUUGGCGAGGGUGCUUUUGGUCAAGUCUUUAGGGGAAUCUUGGAUGGUGAAGUCGUUGCUAUCAAGAAAGUUAAAGGGAUUCUUAAUCUGGAAAACUAUUUGGAGGACAUUGAGCAGCUUAACAUUGUGAGUCACCCAAAUAUUGUUAAGUUGAUUGGGUACUCCGUUCAGGGAGCCAAUAGAUUGCUUGUUUCAGAGUGUGUUCCCAACGGGAGCUUGGAACAUCAUUUACAUUAUGCAAGAGACACGAUUUUGGAUUGGUCAAAGAGAAUGAAAAUCGCCACGAACUCUGCAAAAGGGUUGCUACAUCUUCAUGAAGGCAGUAGACUCAAAAUUAUACAUGGAAACAUCAAAGCAGCAAAUAUCCUUCUUGAUAAUGACUUUGAACCAAAGGUGGUAGAUUUUAUGCUUGCAGCUCUGUUUCCGAAUUUUGAUAGUGUUUCCCACAUCAGCACCCGUCCAUUCGCACCUAACUUAUAUAGAGAUACAGAAUACCGG